AACAUGUAAAUUUGUAUAUUUUUCUGCAAACUUAUAUAUACACAUAUAUAACAUGUAUCCGACAUCGAAAAGAAUUCUGGAGCGCUCGGUCCAUCGACAUUAUCGCGCGCGAGCGAGCGGAGGGAGUGAGAGGGAAAGACUAGCUCUAGUGCAUGAUCUUCGAAACGAGCCGAGGCGUGACACGGCGCGCGCGACGAUUCGGUCAGCGCGACAUGUUUCGUGGCCAGGCGAGCGCGCGGUCGCGGGAGAAACGCGCGCACGCACAUGUCUCGGUAUCACUGCGGAGAUCGGAGAGAGGGAAGGAAAGUGAUGGGGCGCAAAAUUACGGUGAAGUUAUAGUUGACAUAAACAUUUUAGUGUGUGUUUAAAUGUCGUCAACCUAACCUAACCUGUCCCUGUCCAAAAGAGGAUAUAAUGCAGAGGUGUAGGAUACCUAUAAUGACAAUAUAAUGUCGAAAGGUUUCUGUCAUCACAGACUGUUUACAGUGCGAAAAGAGAUAGCGUAGUGUCAAAGUGCAAUGUAUAUUGCCAACACAUUACGUCCUUAUUCAACAGCAGAAACCCAACAGGUCGGACAAAAAAUGUUUCGCAUAAACUCAUCCGCCUACAAAACGGCCCGAGCGUGCCUGUCGAAAUAUACGGUACUGAGUUGGGCAGUUUCGUUUGUUGAAAAGACAAGGAUGAGUGCAGAACUCAAAUGAUAAUGGAUCUAAAAAUAUCGAUAUUAUCGACAUUUUUAGUUCCACUUAGUAGAUGGCGCAGGACCGUCGGAGUUCGGCCGUCACUCCAGCAUC